AUACGUAGGUGGCAAGCGUUGUCCGGAAUUAUUGGGCGUAAAGCGCGCGCAGGCGGUCCUUUAAGUCUGAUGUGAAAGCCCACGGCUCAACCGUGGAGGGUCAUUGGAAACUGGGGGACUUGAGGGCAGAAGAGGAAAGUGGAAUUCCAAGUGUAGCGGUGAAAUGCGUAGAGAUUUGGAGGAACACCAGUGGCGAAGGCGACUUUCUGGUCUGUAACUGACGCUGAGGCGCGAAAGCGUGGGGAGCAAACAGGAUUAGAUACCCUGGUAGUCCACGCCGUAAACGAUGAGUGCUAAGUGUUAGGGGGUUUCCGCCCCUUAGUGCUGCAGCUAACGCAUUAAGCACUCCGCCUGGGGAGUACGGUCGCAAGACUGAAACUCAAAGGAAUUGACGGGG
rnacentral:rRNA from 1 species